rnacentral:tRNA from 2 species
GCGCUUGUAGCUUAACUGGAUAGAGCACCUGACUACGGAUCAGGAGGUUAGGGGUUCGACUCCCUUCAAGCGCAC